rnacentral:tRNA from 1 species
UGCAUCGGCCAGGAAUCGAACCCGGGACGCCUGGGUGGCAGGCGAACAUUCUACCACUGAACCAAAAGC